CGCGGCACAAGUUCCCAAGUCUUAUUUUUAAUUAAAGCAUCAUAUUCUGCUUUCAUUGUUUUUCUCCACUCUUCAUGUUUAUCAACCUGUUUGAAAGUUACAGGUGUAGGGGUCAAAUGGGUCAGAAAAGAAAGUUUUCUUUUCGUAUUGAAGAUACUAUUUUGGGACUGAGUUAUAAUACGAUUUGAAGAUAGCGGUGGAAUCAGGGAAGCAGGUAUUGAAGGAAAAGGAUCAAGUAAUUGGUUUGUGGGAUUUGAAGGGUGGCAAGGGUGAAGGAGUGGCUUCACUGGUGGUUGGGAUUGGUUGGUGGGAUUUCCGGUUUAUGGUUUUUCAUCUCUAGUAUGUGAGUAAAGACUUAUGUGUAGCAGUGUUAUGCGCAGGAGGAGGAGGGACAGGAAGUGGAUUAGAAGUAGGAACAGGGAGAGGUGUAUUACCUGAUAACUCUAGAGCUGCUGGUACUUGAUCAUUGUUGUUGGAGUGAGCAUUGCCAGGGAAAUAGGUGUUA
rnacentral:lncRNA from 1 species